GGCGUGCUUAACACAUGCAAGUCGAACGAUGAACCGCUUUCGGGCGGGGAUUAGUGGCGAACGGGUGAGUAACACGUGGGCAAUCUGCCCUGCACUCUGGGACAAGCCCUGGAAACGGGGUCUAAUACCGGAUAUGACUGUCCAUCGCAUGGUGGAUGGUGUAAAGCUCCGGCGGUGCAGGAUGAGCCCGCGGCCUAUCAGCUUGUUGGUGAGGUAGUGGCUCACCAAGGCGACGACGGGUAGCCGGCCUGAGAGGGCGACCGGCCACACUGGGACUGAGACACGGCCCAGACUCCUACGGGAGGCAGCAGUGGGGAAUAUUGCACAAUGGGCGAAAGCCUGAUGCAGCGACGCCGCGUGAGGGAUGACGGCCUUCGGGUUGUAAACCUCUUUCAGCAGGGAAGAAGCGAAAGUGACGGUACCUGCAGAAGAAGCGCCGGCUAACUACGUGCCAGCAGCCGCGGUAAUACGUAGGGCGCAAGCGUUGUCCGGAAUUAUUGGGCGUAAAGAGCUCGUAGGCGGCUUGUCACGUCGGUUGUGAAAGCCCGGGGCUUAACCCCGGGUCUGCAGUCGAUACGGGCAGGCUAGAGUUCGGUAGGGGAGAUCGGAAUUCCUGGUGUAGCGGUGAAAUGCGCAGAUAUCAGGAGGAACACCGGUGGCGAAGGCGGAUCUCUGGGCCGAUACUGA
rnacentral:rRNA from 1 species